UAUCAGGUUUAAUAUCCCGAU
rnacentral:piRNA from 1 species